UACGUAGGGUGCAAGCGUUAAUCGGAAUUACUGGGCGUAAAGCGUGCGCAGGCGGUUAUGCAAGACAGAUGUGAAAUCCCCGGGCUUAACCUGGGAACUGCAUUUGUGACUGCAUAGCUGGAGUGCGGCAGAGGGGGAUGGAAUUCCGCGUGUAGCAGUGAAAUGCGUAGAUAUGCGGAGGAACACCGAUGGCGAAGGCAAUCCCCUGGGCCUGCACUGACGCUCAUGCACGAAAGCGUGGGGAGCAAACAGG
rnacentral:rRNA from 1 species